AGAGCUAAUACAUGCCUUGUAGCUCUGAUCGAAGUGAUGAGCGCAUUUAUUAGAUCCCGGCUUCGGCCGUGUUCUGGUGAUUCUGAAUAAUCCAGCAGAGCACAGUCCCGGUGCCAAAUCUUUCAAGUGUCUGCUCUAUCAACUUUCGAUGGUAGUUCAUGUGACUACCAUGGUUGUGACGGGUAACGGAGGAUUAGGGUCUGACUCCGGAGAGGGAGCCUGAGAAACGGCUACCACUU
rnacentral:rRNA from 1 species